UUGUGCUCCAGACCCUUCCCCAGCUUCGUUCUCUUCUCCGGACAUGCUCCAGCACCUCAAUGUCCUUUGUGUCAUGAGGGGCUGAAAACUGAACGCAGGAUUCAACGUGUGGCCUCACCAGUGCCAAGUACAGGGGGAUGCUCUGCUUCUUGUGAAAGAUCGCUUCAAGGCCAAGAGUAACUGAGCAAUGACCCCUGCCUGUCACACGUGGCUCAGGCAGUCUCCUGGGAAGGGAGCAGCUGUUCUCGUGAGGCAGCUGGUGAACAACCUCAUCUGCCAGGGGAGAUGCUGACAGGCCCAAACAGCAAGCAGCCUUGUUCCAGGAGUUACAGCAUGAAUUCCUGUGUUCCUUUGGAGUCCAGUGGGUCUCUGAGGGAAAAGCUGUGCUGGGAUUGGGAUGGCACACGAGGAGACUGACCAGGACUGUCUUUACCCCCGCCAGGUAAGUAUUUUUUUAGUGGAUAUCCAUGAGUGGAUAUCCACCUUCUGGAUAUCCUGAGCAAGAGAGAGUGUGGCUUUGGGUCGUCACUGUUGUCUGUGCAGUAACGACAUCCCUGACUGCUACACUGAACCUGUCAAAUCUCACUGGAGUGGUGUUGUGAUUACCACUGUGGUUAAUUAGUUUUGGCCAUUGGUUUUGGUGGGGACUUAAAGUUUGACUGAGUUGCUGCCUGCACAAAGCUGUCUCCCUGUACCCCUGUGGUGCAUCCCAAUGCCCGCUCGGUGCAAUGAGGUGUUAGUUUGCACCAGGUUCAGUAUCUUCACUUCUGUGGCUCCAGACCCAGCUGAAGGUGGCUGCAACAUCUGAACUUCAAGGUCAUCUCUUGAGGUAACCCCUGAACGUUCCUGACAUUAGCAGAUACUCCUGGUUCAGAAAGGAAUUUUACGGAAA